rnacentral:rRNA from 1 species
UACGGAGGGUGCGAGCGUUGUCCGGAAUCAUUGGGCGUAAAGGGCGCGUAGGUGGCGGGACAAGCGUGCGGUGAAAGCCUGGGGCUCAACCCCGGGUCGGCCGUGCGAACUGUUUUGCUUGAGCACUGUAGAGGCAGGCGGAACUCCGAGUGUAGAGGUGAAAUUCGUAGAUAUUCGGAAGAACACCAGUGGCGAAGGCGGCUCACUGGUCCGGUACUGACGCUGAGGUGCGAAAGCGUGGGGAGCAAACAGG